AACAGGGAUUGCCCUAGUAACGGCGAGUGAAGCGGCAACAGCUCAAAUUUGAAAUCUGGCCUCGGCCCGAGUUGUAAUUUGCAGAGGAAGCUUUAGGCGCGGCACCUUCUGAGUCCCCUGGAACGGGGCGCCAUAGAGGGUGAGAGCCCCGUAUAGUUGGAUGCCUAGCCUGUGUAAAGCUCCUUCGACGAGUCGAGUAGUUUGGGAAUGCUGCUCAAAAUGGGAGGUAAAUUUCUUCUAAAGCUAAAUACCGGCCAGAGACCGAUAGCGCACAAGUAGAGUGAUCGAAAGAUGAAAAGCACUUUGAAAAGAGGGUUAAAUAGCACGUGAAAUUGUUGAAAGGGAAGCGCUUGUGACCAGACUUGCGCCGGGCUGAUCAUCCGGUGUUCUCACCGGUGCACUCUGCCCGGCUCAGGCCAGCAUCGGUUCUCGCGGGGGGAUAAAGGCCCAGGGAACGUAGCUCCUCCGGGAGUGUUAUAGCCCUGGGUGCAAUGCCCUCGCGGGGACCGAGGUUCGCGCAUCUGCAAGGAUGCUGGCGUAAUGGUCACCAGCGACCCGUCUUGAAACACGGACCAAGGAGUCAAGGUUUUGCGCGAGUGUUUGGGUGUAAAACCCGCACGCGUAAUGAAAGUGAACGUAGGUGAGAGCUUCGGCGCAUCAUCGACCGAUCCUGAUGUUUUCGGAUGGAUUUGAGUAGGAGCGUUAAGCCUUGGACCCGAAAGAUGGUGAACUAUGCUUGGAUAGGGUGAAGCCAGAGGAAACUCUGGUGGAGGCUCGCAGCGGUUCUGACGUGCAAAUCGAUCGUCAAAUCUGAGCAUGGGGGCGAAAGACUAAUCGAACCAUCU
rnacentral:rRNA from 1 species